rnacentral:rRNA from 1 species
CCAGCCGCCGCGGUAACACGGGGGGGGCAAGCGUUGUCCGGAAUUAUUGGGCGUAAAGGGCGCGUAGGUGGAACAAUAAGUCUGAGGUGCAAACCUAUAGCUUAACUAUGGGCUUGCCUUGGAAACUGUUGUUCUUGAAUUCGGAAGAGGGAAGUGGAAUUCCUGGUGUAGCGGUGAAAUGCGUAGAUAUCAGGAAGAACACCGGUGGCGAAGGCGGCUUCCUGGUCCGAUAUUGACACUGAUGCGCGAAAGUGUGGGGAGCAAACAGGAUUAGAUACCCUGGUAGUCCACACUGUAAACGUUGGGCACUAGGUGUUGGUUUCUCUGAAAUCAGCGCCGCAGCUAACGCAUUAAGUGCCCCGCCUGGGGAGUACGAUCGCAAGAUUGAAACUCAAAGGAAUUGACGGGGGCCCGCACAAGC